UUACAGUUCGUAACAAGUGCCACAAGCC
rnacentral:piRNA from 1 species